rnacentral:rRNA from 1 species
UACGGAGGGUGCAAGCGUUAUCCGGAUUCACUGGGCUUAAAGGGUGCGUAGGUGGGUCUGUAAGUCAGUGGUGAAAUCUCCGAGCUUAACUUGGAAACUGCCAUUGAUACUAUAGCUCUUGAAUAUUGUGGAGGUCAGCGGAAUAUGUCAUGUAGCGGUGAAAUGCUUAGAUAUGACAUAGAACACCAAUUGCGAAGGCAGCUGGCUACGCAUAUAUUGACACUGAGGCACGAAAGCGUGGGGAUCAAACAGG